rnacentral:rRNA from 1 species
UACGUAGGGGGCUAGCGUUGUCCGGAAUCAUUGGGCGUAAAGCGCGUGUAGGCGGUCCGGUAAGUCCGCUGUGAAAGUCGGGGGCUCAACCCUCGGAUGCCGGUGGAUACUGUCGGGCUAGAGUCCGGAAGAGGCGAGUGGAAUUCCUGGUGUAGCGGUGGAAUGCGCAGAUAUCAGGAGGAACACCGAUGGCGAAGGCAGCUCGCUGGGACGGUACUGACGCUGAGGCGCGAAAGCGUGGGGAGCGAACAGG